rnacentral:tRNA from 1 species
UCCUGGUUAGCUCGGUUGGUAGAGAGCUCCAAUGGUAAGGGAGAGGUCCCUGGUUCGAUACCAGGACCAGGCG